rnacentral:RNase_P_RNA from 1 species
AGGAGAAGGCGGGCAGCCGACGGUAGAUCCGAGAGGAUUGGCUGAGGAAAGUCCCCUCUCCGUGAGAAAGGUGGAUCGCAGAAGCGAUGAGGCGAGAGCCUCGGCAAGGGCGCAGAAACGACACAGCCUCGGUUCAAUGCGGUGAACCCUUUGUGGGUGAGAUCUUCCGGGGAUUUGAUGAAACGGCGACACCCCACUGGAGCAAGCUCAAAGAUGCCGGACCGACUUCUCAUCGCCGGCGGGUAGAGCGCAAAGUCGAAUGCUGCCAACUCCGUUAAGGAGCCAACAAAAAGGGGCUUAUGUCCUUCACCU